rnacentral:rRNA from 1 species
CGGUAACAUUUCUAGCUUGCUAGAAGAUGACGAGCGGCGGACGGGUGAGUAAUGCUUGGGAAUAUGCCUUUACGUGGGGGACAACAGUUGGAAACGACUGCUAAUACCGCAUAAUGUCUUCGGACCAAAGGAGGGGACUCUUCGGAGCCUUUCGCGUAAAGAUUAGCCCAAGUGGGAUUAGCUAGUUGGUAAGGUAAUGGCUUACCAAGGCGACGAUCCCUAGCUGGUUUGAGAGGAUGAUCAGCCACACUGGAACUGAGACACGGUCCAGACUCCUACGGGAGGCAGCAGUGGGGAAUAUUGCACAAUGGGCGAAAGCCUGAUGCAGCCAUGCCGCGUGUGUGAAGAAGGCCUUCGGGUUGUAAAGCACUUUCAGUUGUGAGGAAGAGGUAGGAGUUAAUAACUGUUACCUUUGACGUUAGCAACAGAAGAAGGACCGGCUAACUCCGUGCCAGCAGCCGCGGUAAUACGGAGGGUCCGAGCGUUAAUCGGAAUUACUGGGCGUAAAGCGUACGCAGGCGGCUUUUUAAGCCAGAUGUGAAAUCCCCGGGCUCAACCUGGGAAUGGCAUUUGGAACUGGAAAGCUAGAGUUUUGUAGAGGGUGGUAGAAUUUCAGGUGUAGCGGUGAAAUGCGUAGAGAUCUGAAGGAAUACCAGUGGCGAAGGCGGCCACCUGGACAAAAACUGACGCUCAUGUACGAAAGCGUGGGGAGCAAACAGG